GCCUGGGUAGCUCAGUCAGUUAAGCAUCUGACUUCAGCUCAGAUCAUGAUCUCGUGGUUCAUGGGUUCAAUCCCCACAUUGGGCU
rnacentral:tRNA from 1 species